rnacentral:ncRNA from 1 species
GAGAGCCGGAUGAUGGGAAACUAUCCCGUCCGGUUCGGAGGGGGGCGGUUGGAAAAGGGCCGGGACCGGCACCUCGCCAGCCGCCUACCCUAC